UACGUACGAGGCGAGCGUUAUCCGGAAUUACUGGGCGUAAAGCGCGCGUAGGUGGUUUGUUAAGUUGGAUGUGAAAUCCCCGGGCUCAACCUGGGAACUGCAUCCAAAACUGGCAAGCUAGAGUAUGGUAGAGGGUGGUGGAAUUUCCUGUGUAGCGGUGAAAUGCGUAGAUAUAGGAAGGAACACCAGUGGCGAAGGCGACCACCUGGACUGAUACUGACACUGAGGUGCGAAAGCGUGGGGAGCAAACAGG
rnacentral:rRNA from 1 species